GAUGAACGCUGGCGGCGUGCCUAAUACAUGCAAGUCGAGCGAACGGACGAGAAGCUUGCUUCUCUGAUGUUAGCGGCGGACGGGUGAGUAACACGUGGAUAACCUACCUAUAAGACUGGGAUAACUUCGGGAAACCGGAGCUAAUACCGGAUGAUAUUUUGAACCGCAUGGUUCAAAAGUGAAAGACGGUCUUGCUGUCACUUAUAGGUGGAUCCGCGCUGCAUUAGCUAGUUGGUAGGGUAACGGCUUACCAAGGCAACGAUGCAUAGCCGACCUGAGAGGGUGAUCGGCCACACUGGAACUGAGACACGGUCCAGACUCCUACGGGAGGCAGCAGUAGGGAAUCUUCCGCAAUGGGCGAAAGCCUGACGGAGCAACGCCGCGUGAGUGAUGAGGGUCUUCGGAUCGUAAAACUCUGUUAUUAGGGAAGAACAUAUGUGUAAGUAACUGUGCACAUCUUGACGGUACCUAAUCAGAAAGCCACGGCUAACUACGUG
rnacentral:rRNA from 1 species